rfam:Camelus ferus unplaced genomic scaffold scaffold1052, whole genome shotgun sequence.
GAGGGUAUAGCUCAGUGGUAGAGUGUAUGCCUAGCGUGCACAAGGUCCUGGGUUCAUUUCCCAGUACUUCCA